rnacentral:rRNA from 1 species
UGAACGCUAGCGGCAGGCUAACACAUGCAAGUCGAGGGGCAACGCGAGUAGCAAUACUUGGCGGCGACCGGCGCAAGGGUGCGUAACGCGUGAGCAACAUGCCCGUAUCAGGGGGAUAAUCCAGGGAAACUUGGUCUAAUACCCCAUAGUAAUUUUGUAAGGCAUCUUAUAAGAUUUAAAGCUUUGGUGGAUACGGAUUGGCUCGCGUGACAUUAGCUGGAUGGUAAGGUAACGGCUUACCAUGGCUAUGAUGUCUAGGGGUUCUGAGAGGAAGGUCCCCCACACUGGAACUGAGACACGGUCCAGACUCCUACGGGAGGCAGCAGUGAGGAAUAUUGGACAAUGGAUGGAAAUCUGAUCCAGCCAUGCCGCGUGAAGGAAGAAGGUCCUAUGGAUUGUAAACUUCUUUUGUAUGGGAGCAAUAAGGCCUACGAGUAGGUUGAUGAGAGUACCAUACGAAUAAGCACCGGCUAACUCCGUGCCAGCCGCGGC